rnacentral:rRNA from 1 species
UACGAAGGGGGCUAGCGUUGCUCGGAAUCACUGGGCGUAAAGGGCGCGUAGGCGGCGUUUUAAGUCGGGGGUGAAAGCCUGUGGCUCAACCACAGAAUGGCCUUCGAUACUGGGACGCUUGAGUAUGGUAGAGGUUGGUGGAACUGCGAGUGUAGCGGUGAAAUUCGUAGAUAUUCGCAAGAACACCGGUGGCGAAGGCGGCCAACUGGACCAUUACUGACGCUGAGGCGCGAAAGCGUGGGGAGCAAACAGG